ACCAGUGACAGGUCUGCAUGCUGUCGUCAGCUCGUGUCGUGAGAUGUUGGUUAAGUCCGUACGACGCACCCUUGGCCCUUAUUUGCCAGCACGUAAUGGUGGAACUCUAAGGAGACUGCCGGUGACAAACCGGAGGAAGGUGGGGACGACGUCAAGUCAUCAUGGCCCUUAUGACCAGGGCUACACACGUGCUACAAUGGGGCGUACAGAGGGUUGCUAAGCCGCGAGGUGGAGCCAAUCCCAGAAAACGUUUCGUAGUCCGGAUCGAAGUCUGCAACUCUACUUCGUGAAGUCGGAAUCGCUAGUAAUCGCGAAUCAGCAUGUCGCGGUGAAUACGUUCCCGGGCCUU
rnacentral:rRNA from 1 species